GAGACUGGUCCUGAGUACUACAACACCAGUCUUCGUUUUGUGGAUGCUGAACUGAAACACUCGCAGACCCCAGAAAAGCUGUUACGUAACGAGCAUAAAACAAAUAUAAAACACACGCAGGUCAUGCACUUGAAUGAAGCAAAAUGAACAAAGCGAGAAGGGUUUAUGUGGGGAAAUAACACCUCAUUUAUGAAAUAAAAAGCUCCAAAAAUCUUCACCAUAAUUAAGACCAGGAAAAACAAAACAGUGUCUUUAACCUGUCAACACCCCAAAAAGAGCCUUUUUAACGUCUCUGUCUUCAAACAGCAGCACCCCUUCACUUAUUUUAUGAAAGGUCAUGUUGUUUUCAUGGUUUUAAUGUUUCUCUUUUUGAUUUUUUCCAGCAUGACGGCCAGCCCUAUUGCCACAAGCCAUGCUAUGCCGUCCUCUUCGGGCCCAAAGGCGUGAACACUGGUGGUGUGGGCAGCUACAUCUAUGAGAAGGAGCCCAGUGCAGUGACCCAGCCCUGAACCUUAGACCCUCUCCCUUCAGCCUCAUCCCUCUGCUCAACUCAACACUGACCACAUCAACCACAGUAUUAGUCUUGGCCUCUUUUUUUUUUUUCCCUCUCUCUCUCUCCUUCACCUGUGCGAUUAUACCUGAGACAACCAGCCUGCUGCUCCGGAUCCUUCUCUCCUUCAUUCCCACCUGCUUCUAGCACCAUGAGGAGUAACUCCAAGUAGCCCUAAACAUGUGUUCAAUGUAUUUCCUCAACCACAUCCCAGCAUCCCUCCACAUUAGCUCCAUGCUAAUAAACAGCAUUCAAGUAAAGUCACCCAUUUUUGCCAUGUUUACACAUUCUAAUGUAUCUUAACACAUUAAAUGUCACCACAAAUGAACAAAAAGGUGUUUCAAUGUACAGCCUAAAAAAAAAGAAAAAAAAAAGAAGAUGGGCAGUCAUUCUCAGGUGUGGAGAGGGUGCAUUGUGGGUUUAGCUGCAGCAUGUUGACAAACAAUGGAGGAAUUUCUGUCGCAGACACAGGUGUUGCUCAGGAGUACUUUGCCAAUAAAA